UACGGGGGGAGCAAGCGUUGUUCGGAUUUACUGGGCGUAAAGGGCGCGUAGGCGGUCAGCACAAGUCAGUUGUGAAAUCUCCGAGCUUAACUCGGAAAGGUCAACUGAUACUGUGCGACUAGAGUGCGGAAGGGGCAACUGGAAUUCCUGGUGUAGCGGUGAAAUGCGCAGAUAUCAGGAGGAACACCGGUGGCGAAGGCGGGUCUCUGGGCCGAUAUUGACGCUGAGGAGCGAAAGCGUGGGGAGCAAACAGG
rnacentral:rRNA from 1 species